GACGAACGCUGGCGGCGUGCUUAACACAUGCAAGUCGAACGGUAAGGCUCCAGCUUGCUGGGGUACACGAGUGGCGAACGGGUGAGUAACACGUGGGUGACCUGCCCUGCACUUCGGGAUAAGCCUGGGAAACUGGGUCUAAUACCGGAUAGGACCAUGGUGUGGAUACUGUGGUGGAAAGUUUUUUCGGUGUGGGAUGGGCCCGCGGCCUAUCAGCUUGUUGGUGGGGUAAUGGCCUACCAAGGCGGCGACGGGUAGCCGGCCUGAGAGGGUGGACGGCCACAUUGGGACUGAGACACGGCCCAGACUCCUACGGGAGGCAGCAGUGGGGAAUAUGGCACAAGGGGCGGAAGCCUGAUGCAGCGACGCCGCGUGGGGGAUGACGGCCUUCGGGUUGUAAACUCCUUUCACCAUCGACGAAGGGUUUCUGACGGUAGAUGGAGAAGAAGCACCGGCUAACUACGUG
rnacentral:rRNA from 1 species